rnacentral:ncRNA from 1 species
AUAAGGGGGAGCUGAUAGAUCGGCUGAGAAAAGGAUGUGAGCCUUGACCCUUGAACCUGAUUUGGAUAAUGCCAACGUAGGAAGAAAUAUA